rnacentral:tmRNA from 1 species
GGGCUAGUAAAGGUUUCGACGGGGGUUAUGCAGCUGGUGAAGCGAGUCGCAUGCGAUGCGUUAAAUGGCAAAAUUAAAUUUAAACGCUGAAGAUAAUUUAGCAAUCGCUGCCUAAUUUUGGCAGUAGUCGGUUCUAAUGCACCUACACAUUAGAUAACCGGCUUCGACUAUGUAGGAAACGACAUUGUUAAAGCUUUGAAACAAUGGGCGUAUUAUGAAGCUACUAAAGUUACAAGGAUGUUUGCUUUCGUGUGAUGGAGGGAAUGUAAAAGAACAAACUACACUCGUAGAAGAACAGGGAAUUGGCCUUCGGACACGAGUUCGACUCUCGUCUAGUCCACUA